CGUCUCUCAUUUCUUCGAUCUCUUUUGUUUCCCUUUUUCUUCUUCUCUCUUGAAUUAAACCAAAAAAAAAAAAAAUAUAUAUAUAUAUAUUCAGUGGAUCAAAGUCAUAAAAAACUAAAAAAGAUAUCACAGCUAUCGGAAACAAAUUCCGCGGCUGCGAUCUUUGCUUUGGAACAGAAAGAAGCUAUCACGCUCUAGAUCCGCCGCAACUUAGGGUGUCUGCCUUGAUCUGAGCUAGAUCGUGGCGGUUCAAGGCCAGAUCGGGUGAGAUCACAAAGUAAUCGCAUUCUUCCGCCACGAUGUGGCCGAUUCCGGCAGCCACUUAAUUUUUUUCUUCACUUCCUCCUCACAUGGCGGCCAACCAGUAGUUGGUUUUUUGUUGUUGUUGUUGUUGUUGUGGGUCUGGAGAUAAAGAAAUAAAAGAGAACCCAUUGUUGGGUUGGAGAAAGACGGAAGGGAAAGAACGGUUGGAAUUGCUUUACUGUGAGAAUAGGAUUUUGAUUCUUUGUUAUGUAGGUUGGACUUUGAAUUUCAUGGAUUGAAAUUUAAAGUCUGGGAUCUUGUUUUCUCUUAAUUUUAGAUUAAACCUAGAUGUUGUUGGUGUUUUGUUUUCUACAUGUACUUCUUAAAUGUCAUCUUCAUUAUACUCAACAAGAAGGUCUACAAUUAUUUCCCAUAUCCAUAGAAACUCAAGAUGCAGAGAUUAAGAUGCUCAGGAAGAGUUUGACCUUUAAAGCAACUCGCAUCCCGAGUUUCUACCAAGAGCUUCCUCCUCCUACAGUGGAGUUAAAGAAGUGAAGUUUUCCAGCGACAAUUAAGUGUCUCUCUCUGGUGGUCAGAACCUCCAUCUGACCAUACACAUCUCAUUGUCUCCAUCUCGCCGGCAAAACCCCACAAAAAUCGAUGUCAAGGGCCGUCGCACGCGCCUCCACACGCGGUGUUUCUUUUCGCCAGAUCCAACUCUGAUCUCCUUUUCCGACAAGAAUCAGUUCUCACCGCUGGCACCAGCUUGCUCAGAAGACGGCGGUGAGCAAAACCCGCUAAGGUUCUAUUACCUUCGACGUCAAACUCCAAUAGCUUCACUGGAUUCUGCCGGUGUCCUCGUUGGAUAUUCUGCUUAGAUCUGUUUGUUUGCUUCGUGUUACCUCUGAUUCUGGUUUUCGGUCAGAUUUGCUAGUUAUCACGGUUACUUCCAACUCAAACUCCACUUCUGGUGGUUUUUCUUUCUUGUCUCUCCCACUAAUCACCACUGAUAAGUUGAUUGGGAGUGCAAAUUAUUCUUCUUUAGCUGCCUCUGUCGAGUUAUGGUGUACGGGUCAAUGUCUAGAGGAUCACUUGACCACAAAGGUUGCCGACUUCACAUUAGAUAAGUCUUCCUCGAUCAAAACUGAUGCUUUAUUAUGUAAUCUAUUAUGGCAAUCAAUUGACACUAAUCUGCAUCCCAUUUACAAAAUAUACCGCACAUGUUGUGAGAUAUAGAGUCGGGUUAAACUACUGUAUACCAAUGAUAUUCAACGCUUGUAUUACGUUGUGUCCAAUCUCAUGCAUCUAAAACAACAGGAUAUGAGUAUGUUAGAUUUUCUUGGUAAAAUGGCCUCCCUCAAGGUAGAGUACAAUCUUUUCCUACUUGCUAGUAAAACUGCUGUAGAAGAUCUAGCACAACGAGAUAAAUUCUUCAUGAUUCUAACCCUUGCUGCUAUUAGUCCUGAUCUCACUCUUGUAUGAGAUCAAAUUUUAGCUAGCGCGACUGUGCCAUCUCUUGAUGAAGUAUUUGCUAGGUUACUUCGAGUUUCAUCCCUAAGUACUGUCCCCAGUUUUACUAUUGUUAACUUUUCUACUCUGGCUUUUCAGUCUCAAACUACUUAUAGAGGAGAACAGGGAGAUCGUGGUCAAAGCGGAUGACCCAAGUGUAGUUACUGUCAUUGUUGGGGCCAUACCAGGGAAAAAUGUUACAAAUUAUAUGGUCGCCCUACUCAGACGACUAAUGUUGCUCAGGCUGACAUUCGUCCUGACUCUUCUGAUGGACACACUCAACCAUCAUUAACUCUCACUGGGGUUGAUUAUGAAGAAUACCUCCAGUUUUAGGAAAAUAAGCAGUCUUCUCCAUCUAUUGCCUUUAUCGCUCAAUCGGGUAAUUCAGUGGCAUGCCUUACUCAGUCUUUUCUCUUGGACCUUGGGUUCUUGACUCAGGUGCCUCUGACUACAUUUUUUGUAACCCUUACUUACUUUCUCAUUUAACUAAUGUUACAUCUUUACCAUCCGUUACUUUAGCUAAUGGUUCUAAAGCUGUAGGUCAUGCCAAACCACUUCCAUCCUUAGAAUUAGACUCUGUUCUCUAUAUUCCCAAUUGUCUAUUUAAUCUUGUCUAUGUCAGUAAACUUAACUGCUUUUUAAAUUGUUCUAUAUCGUUUGAUA